UACGGAGGGUGCAAGCGUUAUCCGGAUUCACUGGGUUUAAAGGGUGCGUAGGAGGGCAGGGAAGUCCGUGGUGAAAUCUCCGAGCUUAACUCGGAAACUGCCGUGGAUACUCUCUGUCUUGAAUCCCGUUGAGAUGAGCGGAAUAUGUCAUGUAGCGGUGAAAUGCUUAGAUAUGACAUAGAACACCAAUUGCGAAGGCAGCUCGUUACACGAAGAUUGACUCUGAGGCACGAAAGCGUGGGGAUCAAACAGG
rnacentral:rRNA from 1 species